rnacentral:rRNA from 1 species
UGGGGAAUUUUGGACAAUGGGCGAAAGCCUGAUCCAGCAAUGCCGCGUGUGUGAAGAAGGCCUUCGGGUUGUAAAGCACUUUUGUCCGGAAAGAAAUCCUUGGCUCUAAUACAGUCGGGGGAUGACGGUACCGGAAGAAUAAGCACCGGCUAACUACGUGCCAGCAGCCGCGGUAAUACGUAGGGUGCAAGCGUUAAUCGGAAUUACUGGGCGUAAAGCGUGCGCAGGCGGUUUGCUAAGACCGAUGUGAAAUCCCCGGGCUCAACCUGGGAACUGCAUUGGUGACUGGCAGGCUAGAGUAUGGCAGAGGGGGGUAGAAUUCCACGUGUAGCAGUGAAAUGCGUAGAGAUGUGGAGGAAUACCGAUGGCGAAGGCAGCCCCCUGGGCCAAUACUGACGCUCAUGCACGAAAGCGUGGGGAGCAAACAGGAUUAGAUACCCUGGUAAUCCACGCCCUAAACGAUGUCAACUAGUUGUUGGGGAUUCAUUCCUUAGUAACGUGAGCUAACGCGUGAAGUUGACCGCCUGGGGAGUACGGUC